GGCGAGGUCUCAGCUAGGUGUGUCAGCCAAUCAGAUGGGCAGGUUGAGUGUGGACGGUGUCUCGGCCAGGGGUUUGAGACAAUCAGGUGGGCAGGUUGAGUGUGGACGGUGUCUCGGCCAGGGGUUUGAGACAAUCAGGUGGGCAGGUUGAGUGUGGACGGUGUCUCGGCCAGGGGUUUGAGACAAUCAGGUGGGCAGGUUGAGUGUGGACGGUGUCUCGGCCAGGGGUUUGAGACAAACAGGUGGGCAGGUUGAGUGUGGACGGUGUCUCGGCCAGGGGUUUGAGACAAUCAGAUGGGCAGGUUGAGUGUGGACGGUGUCUCGGCCAGGGGGCCCACCAUGCGUAUCUGUAAGGCGGAGGAGCUCUUGGAACUGAGCAUGGAGAGCUGUGUUCCCCCGUUGACACCGCUGCUGACCAGGGAUGGGUGGCGCUGCUGAUGCUUCAGAUCCACGGUAAAGUACCGGUUCACCC